CCUACGGGAGGCAGCAGUGGGGAAUUUUGGACAAUGGGCGAAAGCCUGAUCCAGCCAUUCCGCGUGAGUGAAGAAGGCCUUCGGGUUGUAAAGCUCUUUCGCAAGGAAAGAAAACUUAUCUCCUAAUACGGGGUGAGGAUGACGGUACCUUGAUAAGAAGCACCGGCUAACUACGUGCCAGCAGCCGCGGUAAUACGUAGGGUGCGAGCGUUAAUCGGAAUUACUGGGCGUAAAGCGUGCGCAGGCUGUUUUGUAAGUCAGAUGUGAAAUCCCUGGGCUCAACCUAGGAACUGCGUUUGAAACUACAAGGCUAGAGUGUAGCAGAGGGGGGUAGAAUUCCACGUGUAGCAGUGAAAUGCGUAGAGAUGUGGAGGAAUACCAAUGGCGAAGGCAGCCCCCUGGGUUAACACUGACGCUCAUGCACGAAAGCGUGGGGAGCAAACAGGAUUAGAUACCCUGGUAGUCCACGCCCUAAACGAUGUCUACUAGUUGUUGGGAGAGUAAAAUCUCUUAGUAACGCAGCUAACGCGUGAAGUAGACCGCCUGGGGAGUACGGUCGCAAGAUUAAAACUCAAAUGAAUUGACCGGCUGAGAGNGCGAGCGACACGAGGAGGAGG
rnacentral:rRNA from 1 species